GGGGGCCCGCACAAGCGGUGGAGCAUGUGGUUUAAUUCGAAGCAACGCGAAGAACCUUACCUAGACUUGACAUCCCCUGCAUAACCCAGAGAUGGGCGAAGUCCUUCGGGACAGGGUGACAGGUGGUGCAUGGUUGUCGUCAGCUCGUGUCGUGAGAUGUUGGGUUAAGUCCCGCAACGAGCGCAACCCUUAUCAUUAGUUGCUACCAUUAAGUUGAGCACUCUAGUGAGACUGCCCGGGUUAACCGGGAGGAAGGUGGGGAUGACGUCAAAUCAUCAUGCCCUUUAUGUCUAGGGCUACACACGUGCUACAAUGGUGAGUACAAAGAGAUGCAAGAUUGCAAGGUGGAGCCAAACUCAAAAACUCAUCCCAGUUCGGAUUGUAGGCUGCAACUCGCCUACAUGAAGCCGGAGUUGCUAGUAAUCGCGAAUCAGCAUGUCGCGGUGAAUACGUUCCCGGGCCUUGUACACACCGCCCGUCACACCACGAAAGUUGGCAAUACCCGAAGCCGGUGGGCUAACCUCUUUGAGGAGGCAGCCGUCGAAGGUAGGGUUGAUGAUUGGGGUGAAG
rnacentral:rRNA from 1 species